GGAAAUUGCCUUGAAGUGGGGGAUAGCCCGGAGAAAUCCGGAUUAAUACCGCAUAUGCUCUACGGAGCAAAGUGGGCCUCUGAUUUAAGCUCAUGCUUUGAGAUAUGCCUAUGUCGGAUUAGCUAGUUGGUGGGGUAAAAGCCUACCAAGGCGACGAUCCGUAGCUGGUUUGAGAGGAUGAUCAGCCACACUGGGACUGAGACACGGCCCAG
rnacentral:rRNA from 1 species